GAUGAACGCUGACAGAAUGCUUAACACAUGCAAGUCAACUUGAAUUUGGGUUUUUAACUUAGGUUUGGGUGGCGGACGGGUGAGUAACGCGUAAAGAACUUGCCUCACAGCUAGGGACAACAUUUGGAAACGAAUGCUAAUACCUAAUAUUAUGAUAAUAGGGCAUCCUAUACUUAUGAAAGCUAUAAGCGCUGUGAGAGAGCUUUGCGUCCCAUUAGCUAGUUGGAGAGGUAACGGCUCACCAAGGCGAUGAUGGGUAGCCGGCCUGAGAGGGUGAUCGGCCACAAGGGGACUGAGACACGGCCAUUACGCCUACGGGAGGCAGCAGUGGGGAAUAUUUGACAAUGGACCAAGAGUCUGAUCCAGCACUUCGGUGUGCGCGAUGAAGUUUUUCGGAAUGUAAAGUGCUUUCAGUUGGGAAGAAAGAAAUGACGGUACCAACAGAAGAAGUGACGGCUAAAUACGUG
rnacentral:rRNA from 1 species